ACAUCUGUGUAAAGACAGAAGCCUGUUUAUUGAGCUCCAGAAGCUCAAUAAACAGGCUUCUGUCUUUACACAGAUAU